ensembl:lncRNA
UUAACAGUAAGUUCAGAUCUCUGAACAAUGAAUUUCUUAUUAAUUUAGGCAAAUUGCAUGUGUUUUGGGAAGUACAAUUAAGUGCAAAAAACUGCCUACAAUUUUCACAAUAACUCAAUGCAUAUUGCUUGACGAUCCAGCCUGAUGCAUUAAAUCUUAGUUGAAUCUUAUCAACUUCUGAACAUUCUUUCAUCAUGUGAGCCAUCACAUGCAAAAUGAUUCAGUUAUCAGACAUACAUGUAUAUUAAAUAAAUAUCAUGGAAUGUUUUCGGGUUACAUGUAACACUGCAUACAACUGUGCAUAUUAUUAUUUUUUGCGCACUUUAUAGUAUUGUAGCAUUUUACUUACAGUUGACAUCUGUAUAGAAACAAGUUUGGAGAAAAUGCAUGAAAGUAUCAUCAACGUAUUCUUUUCCUAAGUGAUUAAUGACUGCUUAAUGACUGAUUAAUGCACCUAAUGAGCACCUUUUGUGUUUACUAUGAGUGAUGGAUACAUGCGCCUUGUGAACUGAUCUCAUUCUGUGUCUCUGUUCUUCACAGUACCUGUUUCCUGAUGGGCCCAUUCAAACAGCUGAAGCGAAUGUUCGAGCCCACUAGGCUCAUAGCCACUAUUAUGAUGCUGCUAUUCCUUGUGUUGACAUUAUGUGCAGUGUUUUGGGUAAGCUUUCUUCAUAACCGGUUUAUUUCUGAUAUUUGGUUCACUGUUCACUUGAAUGUAUAUUAUUCAUAUUUUAUUUCUCUUUGUUGCCUUGCAGUGGGGCAAAAAGGGUCUGGCAAUCAUCUUCUGCAUUUUGCAAUUUUUGGCUAUGACAUGGUAAGUGAUAGACUGUCGAUCAUCUUAAAAUAUAUAUAUAUGCAUAUAUAUUUAUAAGAUUUGUUUCAGAUUAAAAAAAAAAGAUCUUUUUGAUCUCUUUGUUAAAAUGUUUAUCUUACUCAGACUUCAGUUUUAUAGUUUAUGUUAAUAGAUUACAUGUUAAAGUUGGUUUCUAAAAAGAUUUUAAUGUAUUUUUUGUACUGUUAGUGUAAUUGAAAGUUACUAGAAAAGGUUCUGUUUUUCAAAAUAAACCAGCUUGCAAAGCCUCA